GGCCCAAUGGUCAAACGGUUAAGACAUCACCUUUUCAACGUGAAUAUAAGGGUUCGAUUCCCUUUUGGGCUA
rnacentral:tRNA from 1 species